CCCAGACUCCUACGGGAGGCAGCAGUGGGGAAUAUUGCACAAUGGGGGGAACCCUGAUGCAGCGACGCCGCGUGAGUGAAGAAGUAUUUCGGUAUGUAAAGCUCUAUCAGCAGGGAAGAUAAUGACGGUACCUGACUAAGAAGCCCCGGCUAACUACGUGCCAGCAGCCGCGGUAAUACGUAGGGGGCAAGCGUUAUCCGGAUUUACUGGGUGUAAAGGGUGCGUAGGUGGCAGGGCAAGUCAGAUGUGAAAGCCCGGGGCCCAACCCCGGUACUGCAUUUGAAACUGUCCGGCUGGAGUGCAGGAGAGGUAAGCGGAAUUCCUAGUGUAGCGGUGAAAUGCGUAGAUAUUAGGAGGAACACCAGUGGCGAAGGCGGCUUACUGGACUGUAACUGACACUGAGGCACGAAAGCGUGGGGAGCAAACAGGAUUAGAUACCCUUGUAA
rnacentral:rRNA from 1 species